rnacentral:rRNA from 1 species
AUACGAAGGUGGCAAGCGUUGUUCGGAAUCACUGGGCUUAAAGCGCACGCAGGCGGAACAGAAAGUGUCUUGUGAAAGCCCCCGGCUUAACCGGGGAAUUGCUUGGCAAACUUCUGUUCUUGAGGCAAGUGGAGGUACAUGGAACUCUUGGUGGAGCGGUGGAAUGCGUAGAUAUCAAGAGGAACGCCAAUGGUGAAGACAGUGUACUGGGCUUGUCCUGACGCUGAGGUGCGAAAGCGUGGGGAGCGAACGGGAUUAGAAACCCGAGUAGUCC